UUUACUGGGUAGCAGACAAGUAAGUGCUCGUGCAGAUUUUCCCCAGCUGUGUGUUCACAGACAGUUUGGGGAAGCAGCCCCCAGGUGCUGCCUGCUGCUCAGGUGCAGAAGUCACCUGUCACAUGGUUUUACCACGCGAUGGAAGGGAGGGAGCCAGCUUCAUCACAGCUGCUCUGUGCUUCAUCUGCACACGUUUGUCUUCAGCAUUAGCCUUGGUUGUUGCUAAAUAUUUAGAGCUGUCAUUUUUCAUUGUACUAGAUGUUUGUUGUAACAGCGACGGGAAGUUCCAAUGUUGUUCUGCAGCGUUACCCAUCAGGUUAAGAGAAAGCAAUGCCCCCGCUUUAGUUUUUAGAGAGAGGUCAACAAGCAAAUGGUUAAUGGUUAACCUCUGUGACAACAGUAAAACUCAUUCUCAGAACUGUAAAAAAAAAAA